rnacentral:sRNA from 1 species
UCGUUGAAGUGGCUGUGGCCUUGGAGUGGGUAUGGCCUUUUUGAGUAGAUGUGGUCUUGGAGGAGAUGUGGCACUGUAAGAGUGGGCUUUGAGGUCUCCUAUGCUUAAAUUCCACCCAGUGUCAAAUUCCAGUCUCUUCCUGGCUGCCUUUGGAUCAAGAUGUAGAGCUCUGUGCUCCUCCAGCAUCAUGUCUACCUGUACACUGCCAUAUUUCCUGCCAUGACAUUAAGGGACUGAACCAGUAAACCGAAGAAAUCACCAAAGAUUAUCAUCACAGCCUGGGAGUGGAGCCAUCUCCGCACUUGGUGACAAGGUCCAGCCCAGUGACCUCUCAAACCUCAACAUGCUUAGGAGCCACCUGCCAGUGUAAAGUUCCAAAACUGGGCAGCAAGACCUUAGAGCUCCAAGGAGUUCCCAGGUCAGGCAGUCGGAAGUCCCACCCAGAAGAGGCCAAUCUUCCCCAGUGACCACCUGGUUCACACAGGCUCUUUCCCACCAGGUAACAAAGCCAGGAAUGGCUCGCAGCUCAGUCCCAUCAUUGCACACAGGGCACAACAGCUGGGCCUUCAUCUAAGAUCUUAGGACUGCUGACAUUCCUGGCUUAUUUCAUUUGCUGAUCGUUUGUCCUUGUCUUCUAAUAGAAAGCAGAUUGCAAAAUUAGUUAGGGGUGGAAUCAAUGGCAGCCAUUUUCGAGUGGGGUUAAUAGGAUAGACUUUGUGACUUCCAAGAGAAUGCUCUUUGAGGGCAGGGGCUUAGGUUUUCUUCUCAGCAGCAUCCUUAGCAGGUAGGGAGAGUAGAGCCUUCCUGAACAAUCAGAGACAGAGAGCUGUAAAAUGUGCCGUGUGUGUGUGUGUGUGUGUGUGUGUGUGUGUGUGUGUGUGUGUGUGUGUGUGUGGUGUCCCUCAAGGGGCAAUGAGGGACAGGGGUAAAACUUGGGUACCACAGACCACUUCAAGGCCACUUCCAAUCCUAGCUUAGCUGUAGGAUUUUGCAGGGCACAAACACCAGAGCGAAUGUUCCUCAUGAAGUUCUAGGUAGGUACAUAAAAUCAGAGCAGGGGACAUAGUAGAGGGCAGAUCAACAAAAUCCAGAGUCCCCAACCCCCAAACCCUCAAUCCUAUAAGGGAAUGUGGUGAGUUGCCAAAGCAGAGAUCUCAGAAGCAAAUAUCAAAGCCAGGGAGCACAGCCAGGAAUCCCAGACCAGAGAGAUAAAGAGAAAGAGAAGUUCGUAGAUCACAGCUUAGAGGGGCCAAUCGGGAGCAGGCAUUGGAAGCUUGCUUUAAUGUGCUUCCAGAGCCAAGAUGGGGUGUGUGAGUCAAGGUUAUAAGGGCCAUGGAGGCUGGACAGAAUGGGAUUUCUGGAGCUUCUUGCUCCUCAGAGCAGAACCUGGAAAAAUAGUAUGAGGAGGUAGAAGCCAUACAGCCGUCUGCAAAGGGGGUGAGAACCUGGUUAAUCAGCCUGAAUCCAGGACUCAGUGUCUGCACUGUCACCAAAGAGCUGGCAUACACCUGCCUCAGUGUCCCUGGCAGGACUCAGGCUAGGUUUCAAGAAAGACUGGAAAGAAUCCCACUAAGUCUGCACUGUCCCUUCUGUGUUACAGGGUGGUAGCACAUAUUUGAAAUCCCAAUCUUUGCCACAGUCCGGGGUUAAAUUUCAUCCUUCACUAAAUCGUGAGUUUGACGCCAACCUGAGCUAUGUGAAAUCCUAUCUCGAAGCAAUGUUACUAAAGCAAAAAGGCAGAAUGAAAGCAUUAUGACAAAGUUCUAACUCCCAGCUUGGCCUUGUGGGUACAGGAUGGAAAAAACCACAAACAAACAUUAAUCUUUUCAAAAUUGUAUUUAAAAAAUAAAUAAAGUCUGACACUCAAAAGACUCAGGCAGUCAUCUGAGGACUUCCAAUUCCUUUUAGAAUGUGCUCCCCCGACUGCCAGCGGGAUACAUUUCCCUCCAAUGGAGCUGGUCAUCCGCUGUUGUCUUCUCCUGCAAUUCCACAGCGUCCUGGGCAACACAUCAUCCUUACAGCAGUGGAGUUACUUUACCCACAAGUCUCUCACCCAGCUUCAGGCAAAGCCUGACCACCCACCAUCAGUCCACCUGCUUUCCAGAGAGCUGACUGAGGCACCAAGGGAGGCAGAAGGUCUGCAGGGCACUUUCGAGCCCCUGGCACAAUCGCUACAUAAAAGUGAUGCCCCGUGUAGCCCCUGGACCAAAUGGCUCAGAGCACUACCUUCUGAGGCCAC